GUGUCUUAAUGAUAAUCAGUUAACUGGAAAAAUCCCAAGGGAGCUCACUGGUAUUUCCAGCUUGAAAGUUGUAGAUGUCUCAAACAACUUGUGUGGAACAAUUCCUACUACAGGUCCAUUUGAGCACAUCCCAUUAAACAAAACAUUGACAAAAUCCCAUAUGUUAAUUGUCCUGUGCUGAUUAUUCAUAUUCGAGAUUUGAUAUGGACGUGUUUGGUAAUUUGGAGGGCCGAUGAUAGUUCAUUUUGUGUUUUUGUUCAUAUUACCUUACAUGUAUUUUGGUUGUGCUGUAAAUUUUAUAUUUUUAUUAGUAUUACGGGGCAUGUUUGGUAAUCUGCCCUUGAUAUUUUAUUUU